AGAGUUUGAUCCUGGCUCAGAACGAACGUUAGCGGCGCGCCUAACACAUGCAAGUCGAGCGGUAGCGCGGGAGCAAUCCUGGCGACGAGCGGCGGACGGGUGAGUAACGCUUGGGAAUCUGCCUACUAGUGGGGGACAACACGGGGAAACUCGUGCUAAUACCGCAUACGCACUAUGGUGGAAAGCCGGGGACCGCAAGGCCUGGCGCUAGUAGAUGAGCCCAAGUCGGAUUAGCUAGUUGGUGAGGUAAUGGCUCACCAAGGCUUCGAUCCGUAACUGGUCUGAGAGGACGACCAGUCACACCGGAACUGAGACACGGUCCGGACUCCUACGGGAGGCAGCAGUGGGGAAUAUUGGACAAUGGGCGAAAGCCUGAUCCAGCGACGCCGCGUGGGUGAAGAAGGCCUGCGGGUUGUAAAGCCCUUUCAGUGGGGAAGAAAAGCUUCGUCCUAACACGACGGGGUAUUGACGUAACCCAUAGAAGAAGCACCGGCUAACUCUGUGCCAGCAGCCGCGGUAAU
rnacentral:rRNA from 1 species